rnacentral:rRNA from 1 species
CGGGACGGGUGAGUAACGCGUGGAUAACCUGCCUCACACUGGGGGAUAACAGUUAGAAAUGGCUGCUAAUACCGCAUAAGCGCACAGUACCGCAUGGUACGGUGUGAAAAACCCAGGUGGUGUGAGAUGGAUCCGCGUCUGAUUAGCCAGUUGGCGGGGUAACGGCCCACCAAAGCGACGAUCAGUAGCCGACCUGAGAGGGUGACCGGCCACAUUGGGACUGAGACACGGCCAA